rnacentral:rRNA from 1 species
UACGUAGGGGGCUAGCGUUGUCCGGAAUCAUUGGGCGUAAAGAGCGUGUAGGCGGCCCGGUAAGUCCGCUGUGAAAGUCGGGGGCUCAACCCUCGAAUGCCGGUGGAUACUGUCGGGCUAGAGUCCGGAAGAGGAGAGUGGAAUUCCUGGUGUAGCGGUGAAAUGCGCAGAUAUCAGGAAGAACACCAAUGGCGAAAGCAGCUCUCUGGGACGGUACUGACGCUGAGACGCGAAAGCGUGGGGAGCGAACAGG